rnacentral:tRNA from 1 species
GUGGGUUUAGCUGAGUGGUUAGAGCUUAGGACUUAUGACCUGAAGGUCUCGAGUUCGAAUGUCGCCAGAGGCAUA